rnacentral:rRNA from 1 species
UACGGAGGAUCCAAGCGUUAUCCGGAUUUAUUGGGUUUAAAGGGUGCGUAGGUGGGUUAUUAAGUCAGUGGUGAAAGCCUGCAGCUUAACUGCAGAACUGCCAUUGAUACUGAUAAUCUUGAGUGUAGUUGAGGUGGGCGGAAUGUGUCAUGUAGCGGUGAAAUGCUUAGAUAUGACACAGAACACCGAUUGCGAAGGCAGCUCGCUAAACUAUAACUGACACUGAGGCACGAAAGCGUGGGGAGCAAACAGG